GAUGCCAAGAAGGGCAUGACCAUAUGGACCGGCACAAGCACACCCGCCUCUCGCUUGAAUGCCAAAGAGGUCAUUGAGGAGAGUGGCAACAAAAGGUCCAUGGAGAGGCUUGUCCCUUUCGUUCCCCGUUUCUCCCCACAGGUUGAUGGGGGAGAUGAUCCAAGCUGAUAGAGAACCUUGCUCAUGAGCAGGAUUCCUGGAGACCCAGGUCCACCAAGGAACUUGUGCACACUCAGGAAGAUCGCAUCAUAACCGUCGACUUCCCCCGAUCUCAUGUCGAUUUCCACAUAAGGUGCACUGUUCAAAAUUAAGCAAUAAAAGGCCAGUUAGAUUAGUCGUUUCGUUACAUUUUCUCAGUAAGUGCAAACGGUUUGUUAUUAUUGGAUUAUCUAUUUAAAUAAGGAGUUCUCCAGUUGAGCCAGAAA